rnacentral:ncRNA from 20 species
UAAUAAAGCAAGUACUUAGGUGCCCUUCGGGGAGAAUAGGGAAUGAAGUGAAAAUCUUCAGCGAACCCGUCACUGUGAUGAGGAGCUGCUGUCAAUACCACCGGAAUGCCGGGAAGGGACAGUAAGUGUUGAAUCGAGCCAGGAGACCUGCCUAAAUGUGCUGCAUCAUG